UACGGAGGAUCCAAGCGUUAUCCGGAAUCAUUGGGUUUAAAGGGUCCGUAGGCGGUCUUGUAAGUCAGUGGUGAAAGCCCAUCGCUCAACGAUGGAACGGCCAUUGAUACUGCAGGACUUGAAUUAUUGGGAAGUAACUAGAAUAUGUAGUGUAGCGGUGAAAUGCUUAGAGAUUACAUGGAAUACCAAUUGCGAAGGCAGGUUACUACCAAUGGAUUGACGCUGAUGGACGAAAGCGUGGGUAGCGAACAGG
rnacentral:rRNA from 1 species